GAUGAACGCUGGCGGCGUGCCUAAUACAUGCAAGUCGAGCGAACGGACGAGAAGCUUGCUUCUCUGACGUUAGCGGCGGACGGGUGAGUAACACGUGGAUAACCUACCUAUAAGACUGGGAUAACUUCGGGAAACCGGAGCUAAUACCGGAUAAUAUUUUGAACCGCAUGGUUCAAUAGUGAAAGACGGUCUUGCUGUCACUUAUAGAUGGAUCCGCGCUGCAUUAGCUAGUUGGUAAGGUAACGGCUUACCAAGGCAACGAUGCAUAGCCGACCUGAGAGGGUGAUCGGCCACACUGGAACUGAGACACGGUCCAGACUCCUACGGGAGGCAGCAGUAGGGAAUCUUCCGCAAUGGGCGAAAGCCUGACGGAGAAACGCCGCGUGAGUGAUGAAGGUCUUCGGAUCGUAAAACUCUGUUAUUAGGGAAGAACAAAUGUGUAAGUAACUGUGCACAUCUUGACGGUACCUAAUCAGAAAGCCACGGCUAACUACGUG
rnacentral:rRNA from 1 species